ACGAACGCUGGCGGCGUGCCUAACACAUGCAAGUCGAACGGACGAGGAGGAGCUUGCUCCUCCGAGUUAGUGGCGGACGGGCGAGUAACGCGUGAGGAACCUGCCCUUGAGUGGGGAAUAACGACCGGAAACGGGCGCUAAUACCGCAUAACAUAUUGGGAUGGCAUCGUCCCGAUAUCAAAGGAGCAAUCCGCUGAAGGAUGGCCUCGCGUCCGAUUAGCUAGUUGGUGGGGUAACGGCCUACCAAGGCGACGAUCGGUAGCCGAACUGAGAGGUUGAUCGGCCGCAUUGGGACUGAGACACGGCCCAGACUCCUACGGGAGGCAGCAGUGGGGGAUAUUGGUCAAUGGGGGAAACCCUGAACCAGCAACGCCGCGUGAGGGAAGACGGCCUUCGGGUUGUAAACCUAAGUGAUCAGGGAUGAAACAAAUGACAGUACCUGAAAAGCAAGCUCCGGCUAACUACGUGCCAGCAGCCGCGGUAAUACGUAGGGAGCAAGCGUUGUCCGGAUUUACUGGGUGUAAAGGGUGCGUAGGCGGGAACGCAAGUCAGGCGUGAAAUACCGGGGCUCAACUCCGGGGCUGCGCUUGAAACUGUGUUUCUUGAGUGAAGUAGAGGCAGGCGGAAUUCCUAGUGUAGCGGUGGAAUGCGUAGAUAUUAGGAGGAACACCAGUGGCGAAGGCGGCCUGCUGGGCUUUAACUGACGCUGAUGCACGAAAGCAUGGGGAGCAAACAGGAUUAGAUACCCUGGUAGUCCAUGCUGUAAACGAUGAUUGCUAGGUGUGGGGGGACUGACCCCUUCCGUGCCGGAGUAAACACAAUAAGCAAUCCACCUGGGGAGUACGACCGCAAGGUUGAAACUCAAAGGAAUUGACGGGGGCCCGCACAAGCAGUGGAGUAUGUGGUUUAAUUCGACGCAACGCGAAGAACCUUACCAGGUCUUGACAUUGAUCGCGAUCUGCAGAAAUGCGGAGUUCUUCUUCGGAAGACGAGAAAACAGGUGGUGCACGGCUGUCGUCAGCUCGUGUCGUGAGAUGUUGGGUUAAGUCCCGCAACGAGCGCAACCCUUGUUGUUAGUUGCUACGCGAGAGCACUCUAACGAGACUGCCGUUGACAAAACGGAGGAAGGUGGGGACGACGUCAAAUCAUCAUGCCCUUUAUGACCUGGGCUACACACGUACUACAAUGGCCGUCAACAACGGGAGGCAAAACCGCGAGGUGGAGCAAAACCCCAAAAACGGUCUCAGUUCAGAUCGCAGGCUGCAACCCGCCUGCGUGAAGAUGGAAUUGCUAGUAAUCGCGGAUCAGCAUGCCGCGGUGAAUACGUUCCCGGGCCUUGUACACACCGCCCGUCACACCAUGAGAGUUGGGGAUACCCGAAGCCUGUGAGCCAACAGUUAAAUGAGGCAGCAGUCGAAGGUAGAAUCAAUGAUUGGGGUG
rnacentral:rRNA from 1 species